rnacentral:rRNA from 1 species
UACGUAGGGUGCGAGCGUUACUCGGAAUUACUGGGCGUAAAGCGUGCGCAGGCGGUGAUGUAAGACAGUUGUGAAAUCCCCGGGCUCAACCUGGGAACUGCAUUUGUGACUGCACGGCUGGAGUGCGGCAGAGGGGGAUGGAAUUCCGCGUGUAGCAGUGAAAUGCGUAGAUAUGCGGAGGAACACCGAUGGCGAAGGCAAUCCCCUGGGCCUGCACUGACGCUCAUGCACGAAAGCGUGGGGAGCAAACAGG